rnacentral:rRNA from 1 species
AUGCCGACAAUCAGCGUCGGCCGCGANNNNNNNNNNNNNNNNNNNNNNNNNNNNNNNNCGCAAGACGAAUUCGAGGCACUCUGCUUCGAUUUCGGCAUCGAACUCGACGACGUGACCACAGAGAAGGCCAUCAUCCGGAAGGAGAAGCACCUGGAGGAAGAUGUCGAAGCGGACGGUGACGACGAGGUCAUCUACAAGAUUGAGGUUGCUGCCAAUAGAUAUGAUUUGUUAUGUCUUGAAGGAUUAGCAAGAUCUCUUCGCAUUUUCACUGGGAGUGAAGCAACCCCUAUAUUUAAAAUUGCUUCAAUCCCCCGUGGUUCAAUGCUUCAGAUGCAUGUUAGACCACAGACGUCACAAAUUAGACCAUAUGUAGUUUGUGCUGUCCUAAGAGGAGUAACUUUUGAUGAAGUCAGAUACAACAGCUUCAUUGAUCUUCAAGACAAACUCCAUCAAAAUAUUUGCCGGAAGAGAACUCUUGUUGCUAUUGGUACCCAUGAUUUGGACACUCUGCAAGGACCCUUCUCAUACGAGGCUCUACCACCACAGGAAAUCAAUUUUAUCCCAUUAAAACAGGAGCAAGAGUUCAGGGCAGAUGCAUUGAUGGAUUUCUACAGAUCUGACAUGAAGUUGAAGAAGUUUUUGCAUAUUAUCGAGAAUUCUCCAGUUUACCCAGUUAUAUAUGAUAGCAACAGAACUGUAUUAUCGUUACCUCCUAUCAUCAAUGGUGCACAUUCUGCUAUCACCCUGAAGACAAGGAAUGUGUUUAUCGAAUGCACCGCUACAGACAUUACAAAAGCAAAUAUUGUUCUGAAUACAAUGGUCGCAAUGUUUUCGGAGUACUGUGAAAAUAAGUUUGAAGUGGAACCAGUUGAAGUGGUAUCUCAUGAUGGAAGCACAGCCAUUUAUCCUGAUCUUUCAUGUUAUAAAAUGGAAGUUUCGUUCUCUGAUAUUGUUGGACCCAUUGGAAUCUCCCUAGAUGAGACGCAGGUUAUCUCCCUUCUGAACAAAAUGCAAUUGCAAGCGGAACUUUGUUCAUCAAAUGGGGAGCCUUGUAUUUCAGUGUCUGUCCCUCCUACAAGAAGUGAUGUUCUGCAUGCUCGUGAUCUAGCAGAGGAUGUUGCUAUAGCUUAUGGGUACAACAAUGUGCCAAAAUCAAAGCCAAAGUCUAUGACAAUAGGUGGAAGGCAACCACUAAACCGUUUCUCUGAUAAAAUUCGUGCUGAGGUUGCAAGAGCUGGUUAUAUGGAGGUGCUCACAUUUGUUUUGACUUCACACGAAGAGAACUUUGACAUGCUAAACAGGACAGACGAUGGAAAUAAAGCAGUCAUUAUUGCAAACCCCCGUACUUCUGAAUUUGAGGUUGUAAGAAGUAGUCUGAUGUCAUGUUUGUUGAAAACGCUGAAGCAUAAUAUAGACCAUCCAAGACCCAUAAAGAUUUUUGAAGUUGGUGAUGUAGUGUCAUUGGAUACUUCACGUGAUGUUGGUGCCUCUAAUAAUCGCCGGCUUGCAGCUUUGUACUGUAAUAGUAAUUCUGGAUUUGAGGAAAUUAUGGGUUUGGUGGAUAGGAUUGUCAAAAUCGUGAGAGCUCCACACAUAAAUUUCGGCCAGACUUACUAUGUUCCUUCAAGUGAACCCGAGUUCUUUACUAAAAGACAAUGCAAAAUUGUUAUGAGUGAUGGAAAGCAGGUUGGCUACUUAGGAAUUGUCCAUGCUGAGGUGCUAAGAAAAUUCGGCAUUCCGGACCCCUGCACUUUCGUUGAGAUUGACAUCGAGGCUCUUUUGUAG